rnacentral:lncRNA from 12 species
GACAAGGGGAGGGGAAAAGUAACUAUUUUGAAAUAUGCCAGUGCAUUCUGUUCUUUUUAACAAGGUCUGCUCUCAUGAGAAACUAUUUUUAUCAGAAACUAUUUUAUCUUUGAUGGAGCUAGCCUGGAUUACACCGAGCAUAGAGGAUGGCUCUUCUGGAGGGUACCUGAUUAGUGAUUUUCAUGGUUAAUAUUUUACUUCAGCAUAGCUUAGCAUUACCCUGGCCUAUACAUGUGCCAUUUCUAAUUGUUUGUAUACAACAGUCCAGAGUUUUGUUUUUGGAAAGCCUGUGAAACUAAAAACAAGCUCAAAGGAAAGAGUACAUGAUCAGUCUGGUGUCUACAUUGAACAAGAGGGAAGAGUGUCCUCCAUGUAUCUGCCGACUGUGAGAUCCUGGCCUAGUGCUAUCCUAUAUAACUUCUGGAUCUAUGAACCUGUGAGUCUGCAUGCUUGUUUUCCUGGGCAUAGACAUAGCUCAGAAGAAGACCAUGGAUAUGGACCAUGGAGAUGUGCAAUAAAGAAUCUUCACUAUGACGCUGAUGGAACCACAGAGUCCAUGAGCCAGAUGCAACCUAGUGCAAAGUCUGGGGGAUGGAGAAAGUGUGGUGAAUGGAGCUUGUUCCCUCAACAUUAAUGAAUCCAUAGUUUUAGACUGUCUCCAAAAUAGGAGCAUAUAUUCACAUCCAUCAAGACCACCUAAUCUCAUCUGAGCUGCCAGAAUGACAAACGCUGCAUGAAUGACCCCAGACUAGACCAACAGAAGACCAUUCACUUCAACCUACCUCAAACUGCUUAUCCACGGAAUUAUGAGUAAACAAAAUGGUUGUUUUGAAUCACUGGGUUUGUUAUACAAAAAAUAGAUUAGUAAUAUAAUUUGUUAAACAGAAAUUAAUGAGUGUUUAAUAUGGGAAGCCUUGGACAUCUCAAAAAUAUUUGAAAGGCAAUUUAGCUCUAGUUUAAAUCUCUCAAGUUUUUGUUAUGAACCCUUUAUCAAUGUAGGUCCAUUGUUGUCAGAUAUGUAUUCUGAAUUUUUUCUGCCACUCCUUUGUUUAUGCAGACAUUGAGCAUGGGGAUGCCUUUUCUUGUUUCUUAGCCUGCCCAUAGCAAGCAGCUGUUCAAAAUCAACCUCCUUGUGGACGCCUGGGUGGCUCAGAGGUUGAGCGUCUGCCUUAGGCUCAGGGCGUGACCCCGGGGCCAGGGAUUGAGCGCCAAAUCAGGCUCCCUGCAUGGAGCCUGCUUCUCCCUCUGCCUGUGUCUCUGCCUCUCUCUCUCUCUCUCUGUCUCUCCCUGUGUGUCUCUCAUGAAUAAAUAAAUAAAAUCUUAAAAAAAAUAUUUUAAA